UCCGUUUUCAAAUAUUUCCAGUUGCCUUUUAGUUCCCCAAGCCCAAGAUGGCACAUCUCAACGGAAUGGUCCUGUUCGCCGUGACUUGCCUCCUGAUGAUGUUAGGGGAAGCCACAGCAGGUUCUUCAUUCCGGCAACGCCGUGAAUUCCCUCCAUGGUCACCAGUAGGGACGUAAUCAGCAUUUAAGGAAAGGGGAGGGGCCAGAGCACUAAUACUAUAGUUGUAUUCUGUUUUCUCCCUGCGGCCUUAUUUCUUUUGAUCUGAUUAUUUUUAUAUACUGGAAAGCUUUUACCACUGACUUGCAUAGUGAUAGUGAUCUUUUCAGUAGUGAAUAUAAGAUUAAGUAAUAACAUAGCUGUAGGGUGUUUGUAUUUUCCCUGCGCCCCUUCCCCACCUCCAUCCAAUUACGUCAUCUUUCAUCAAGCUAAUGUAAAGUGCAAGGUGCAGUAAAAUGAUGGAAAAGCU